rnacentral:rRNA from 1 species
AUUGAACGCUGGCGGCAGGCUUAAUACAUGCAAGUCGAACGCGGGGUAGCAAUACCUCGAGUGGCGCACGGGUGCGUAACGCGUAACCAACCUGCCCUUGACUGGGGGAUAGCCCGCCGAAAGGCGGAUUAAUACCGCAUAAACCAGCAGCCUGGCAUCAGGCAACUGGUAAAGCUUUAUUGGUCAAGGAUGGGGUUGCGUGACAUUAGCUAGUUGGCGGGGUAACGGCCCACCAAGGCGACGAUGUCUAGGGGACCUGAGAGGGUGAUCCCCCACACUGGCACUGAGAUACGGGCCAGACUCCUACGGGAGGCAGCAGUAGGGAAUAUUGGGCAAUGGGCGAGAGCCUGACCCAGCCAUGCCGCGUGCCGGAUGGAGGCCUUCUGGGUUGUAAACGGCUUUUCUCAGGGAAGAAAACGACCAUGCGUGGUACACUGACGGUACCUGAGGAAUAAGCACCGGCUAACUCCGUGCCAGCAGCCGCAGUAAUAC